GUGGCGAACGGGUGAGUAACACGUGAGUAACCUGCCCUCCACUCUGGGAUAACUCCGGGAAACCGGUGCUAAUACUGGAUAUGACCUUAACCUGCAUGGGUAUGGGGUGGAAAGAUUUAUCGGUGGUGGAUGGACUCGCGGCCUAUCAGCUUGUUGGUGGGGUAAUGGCCUACCAAGGCGACGACGGGUAGCCGGCCUGAGAGGGUGACCGGCCACACUGGGACUGAGACACGGCCCAGACUCCUACGGGAGGCAGCAGUGGGGAAUAUUGCACAAUGGGCGAAAGCCUGAUGCAGCGACGCCGCGUGCGGGAUGACGGCCUUCGGGUUGUAAACCGCUUUCAGCUCUGACGAAGCUUUUGUGACGGUAGGAGCAGAAGAAGCACCGGCUAACUACGUGCCAGCAGCCGCGGUAAUACGUAGGGUGCGAGCGUUGUCCGGAAUUAUUGGGCGUAAAGAGCUUGUAGGCGGCUUGUCGCGUCUGCUGUGAAAACCCGGGGCUUAACCCCGGGCUUGCAGUGGGUACGGGCAGGCUAGAGUGUGGUAGGGGAGACUGGAAUUCCUGGUGUAGCGGUGGAAU
rnacentral:rRNA from 1 species